UUGGGAGGCUAAGUAUGAUACACCUGAUGUCUAUCACUGAUGCUUCAGACUGCCCAGUAAAUCAUGGGGUUAAGACAUCAUAUCCUGUUGAGUUAAUUAAUUGGAGCAGAAACUACACAGACACGAAGAAUUCAAUUACAUAGAUUGAUGAUGGACAAGUGCUUGAAGGGAUGUGAGAACAAAGUAGACAAGAAUUCGUUGUGGCUAUGCAGCACUCCUGGACACAGGUUGAUGAACUGCUACUGGAUGAACAGCCAGAGGAUACCGUGUUGCAAGAGUCAUCACAGCUGCUUGUCCAUGUGGUGGUCGCUGUAUUCUUUUCCAGCUGAUGAACAGAAGGAGAAGCGUUGAGAGAUGUAUGAGACUAUACA